AGAGCGAACGCUGGCGGCAGGCUUAACACAUGCAAGUCGAGCGGGCGUAGCAAUACGUCAGCGGCAGACGGGUGAGUAACGCGUGGGAACGUACCUUUUGGUUCGGAACAACCCAGGGAAACUUGGGCUAAUACCGGAUAAGCCCUUACGGGGAAAGAUUUAUCGCCGAAAGAUCGGCCCGCGUCUGAUUAGCUAGUUGGUGAGGUAAUGGCUCACCAAGGCGACGAUCAGUAGCUGGUCUGAGAGGAUGAUCAGCCACAUUGGGACUGAGACACGGCCCAAACUCCUACGGGAGGCAGCAGUGGGGAAUAUUGGACAAUGGGCGCAAGCCUGAUCCAGCCAUGCCGCGUGAGUGAUGAAGGCCCUAGGGUUGUAAAGCUCUUUUGUGCGGGAAGAUAAUGACGGUACCGCAAGAAUAAGCCCGGCUAACGUUCGCGCCAGCAGCCGC
rnacentral:rRNA from 1 species